GGCACAGCCAGCCCCGGCACAGUGUGCUCACUCAGGAGAGAAAGCCUCUAGGCCGUCACUGACUCACCUGUGUGUGCAGCUGUGCCUUCUCCCAAUGUCAGUUCUCUUGCCCACCAUUGCUCCAGGAGAUGCGAUUCCACUCCCAGCACCCUGCUUCUGACUCUGAUCCUGACUCAGCUGCCUGAGCCAAGGGCUGGGGAACAGACAGGGAUAUUGGACUGUGCUCUUCAGCAUCCAAAGGGGACAUGUGCUGCCUGCCAGGGCUCUGGAAAGCUUCCCCAGGGUGAGAAAACAGAGACUCGGAGCAUUAAAAUGACUUGUUCAAGGUCCCAGCAUUACAAAUCAGAUCAAACCAUGGAUGAAUGGAUCCAGCCUUUGUGUCUGUUUGCCCUUCAGUUGCAGAUGUCGGGAAAGGAGCUGAGCAGGAAGAGAAAGGGAGCCAGCACUGUGCUGGGGUCUUUACGCCUCACCGAAUCCACAGCCAGUCCUGCAGCAGUAGAGAGCGAGUCUUCUUCCCCCUGCUUUCACCAGCCCUGGGAGCCAGCCAUCACCUCCUUCUGUGCCAACCUGAAGGGUGACAAUUAAUUCGCUUCAGUGUUAUUUUUACUUGAGUUGGCCUGCUUACAAAUGACGUUGAACUGCUUUUCAUGUU